rnacentral:misc_RNA from 1 species
GAGAGUGUUGAGUUAGAUUUGUGGGUUUAAGAUCUUCGAAAUCGAAAGGAUAGGGUAGAAUAGAAAUUGAAGUGAAGAUAUGGGUUCUCGAGGAGCCAACAUGUUGAUUUCUAGGGCAAACAGAAUGAAAACGAAGCUGCAAUCUGCUUUGGAAGCUACCACUAUAGAAAUCGAGGACGUUUCGCAUCAGCACGCUGGCCACGCUGCCGUCAAAACCAAUAAUGUUGAGACCCAUUUCAAUUUGAAGAUUGUCUCGCCCAAAUUCAAUGGUCACACCCUCCUUAAGCGCCACCGCAUGGUCUAUGAUGCACUUGUGGAUGAGCUUCAAUCUGGAUUGCAUGCUCUCUCCAUUGUGGCCAAGACUCCCCAGGAGGAAGAAGCUGCUUCUCGCAGAUAACCACUCAUUGCAGCUAUUGUUCGGAUCAGAGGCGUGCAUUUUGGAUUUUGCUACUCUAUCAACGAAGUUGUGUGCUUAUCAAAUGACAUCAGCCAUCUUGUUUAUUAUAUCCUCUAUUAAUAGUGGAUCAUGGUUUUAAAUCGCGGUCACACUCGCUGUAACGGAAACAGGGUCAGGCCGUUACCAUUACCGUUACGGCUGUUACAGGCCCGUUUCUGUUACUUGCGACCGUGACCACGAUUGCAACCGCGACGGCAAUUUAAAACCAUGCACCCCACCAACUAGUAGGUUGUCAAUGAUGAUAUGUUUGGAUAGCAGAAGUGAAGAAAGUUUGCACUAUCAAUAUAAGCAGGCCAGUUUUCCCGUAAUGGGAUAAAUAAGGGUCUCCUUUCAUUCUUAAGAUUUUUGUUUGUGUUAUUAGCGAGGAUCAUUGAACCGAAAAGAAGUCUCUAUGGUUGGUGAAGGAUUUGGUCCAUAGAUACCUUCUGCAUGAACACAUGCAUGGCAUAUUUGCAUUCAUCAACCCAGCUAUUUGUAGACCAUGUUGUUUCAACUUUACCCUUUCUUUUGGAAAAAAGUUGGGUGGGGAAAGAAAAAGAGGGGAAAGAGUGCAAGAGGAAGAGAAAUUCUCUCUUUUAUCUUAUCUGGAAAAUGGUGAAGACCCUUUGCUUCUUACCCCUUUCACUUCCCUUUUCUUUCCCCAGGCUCAUCACCAUUCCUGUCCCAAGGGUUUUAACUAUAUUGAAGUUUGUGUGCAUAAUUGAUGAAACUAAGAUUUGCCCACAAUUAAAAAUUGUGUAGUAACAAAAUAUUCAGUCAAUAUUUUCAGAUUUUGUCAUAAUUGUUAAAGAGCGGUGUUUUUUGUGAUUACUAAUUAAAAAUUUAGCUAAAUUUUGA